rnacentral:tRNA from 1 species
GGUUAUGGCUCAGUGGCAGAGUGCUUACCUUGCAUGCAUGAGGCCCUGGGUUCGAUCCUCAGCACCA